rnacentral:rRNA from 1 species
AGAGUUUGAUCCUGCCUCAGAUUGAACGCUGGCGGAAUGCUUUACACAUGCAAGUCGAACGGCAGCACGGACUUCGGUCUGGUGGCGAGUGGCGAACGGGUGAGUAAUACAUCGGAACGUGCCCAGUCGUGGGGGAUAACGUAGCGAAAGUUACGCUAAUACCGCAUACGAUCUAAGGAUGAAAGCGGGGGAUCGCAAGACCUCGCGCGACUGGAGCGGCCGAUGGCAGAUUAGGUAGUUGGUAGGGUAAAGGCCUACCAAGCCGACGAUCUGUAGCUGGUCUGAGAGGAUGAUCAGCCACACUGGGACUGAGACACGGCCCAGACUCCUACGGGAGGCAGCAGUGGGGAAUUUUGGACAAUGGGCGCAAGCCUGAUCCAGCCAUUCCGCGUGCAGGACGAAGGCCUUCGGGUUGUAAACUGCUUUUGUACAGAACGAAAAGCCUUGGGUUAAUACCCUGGGGUCAUGACGGUACUGUAAGAAUAAGCACCGGCUAACUACGUGCCAGCAGCCGCGGUAAU